GGGUCAGUAGCUCGAACGGCUAGAGCACCGGACUCCAAAUCCGGGGGUUGCAGGUUCGAAUCCUGCCUGACCCG
rfam:Candidatus Rokubacteria bacterium 13_1_40CM_2_68_13 13_1_40cm_2_scaffold_6852, whole genome shotgun sequence.